rnacentral:rRNA from 1 species
GACGAACGCUGGCGGCGUGCUUAACACAUGCAAGUCGAACGAUGAAAGUGGAGCUUGCUCCGCUGGAUUAGUGGCGAACGGGUGAGUAACACCUGGGCAACCUGCCCCCCACUCUGGGAUAACUCCUCGCAAGAGGUGCUAAUACCGGAUACGAACCCCUUGGGCCUCCAUCGAAUGGGCACGUUUUUCGGUCUGGGAUGGGACCGCGGCCUAUCAGCUUGUUGGUGGGGUAGUGGCCCACCAAGGCGACGACGGGUAGCCGGCCUGAGAGGGCGACCGGCCACACUGGGGCUGAGACACGGCCCAGACUCCUACGGGAGGCAGCAGUGGGGAAUAUUGCGCAAUGGGCGAAAGCCUGACGCAGCGACGCCGCGUGAGGGAUGACGGCCUUCGGGUUGUAAACCUCUUUCAGCAGGGAAGAAGCGAAAGUGACGGUACCUGCAGAAGAAGCACCGGCUAACUACGUGCCAGCCGCCGCGUAA